rfam:Pedobacter kyungheensis strain KACC 16221 contig08, whole genome shotgun sequence.
UAAUAGCCCUGAUGGCAGUGAAAAUCCCUUUUGGCUUGAACAGGCAUAUUAAAUCUUGCAUAAGGUCUCCAAAAGGAUUGUAACGUACAGCAGGACGGAAC